rfam:Ixodes scapularis strain Wikel colony gcontig_1108379798358, whole genome shotgun sequence.
GCAGUUGUGGCCAAGUGGUUAAAGCGAUGGACUAGAAAUCCAUUGGGGUCUCCCCGUACAGAUUCAAAUCCUGUCGACUGCG